CCUCAGUAACGGACGAGUGAAGACGGCAAAGACUCAAAUGUGAAAUCCCCCGGGAAUUGUAAUUUGAAGAGAAUUUUGGGUCCGGCCGGCGGGGUUAAGUCCACUGGAAAGUGGCGCCCAGAGGGUGACAGCCCCUGAACCCCCUCAACGCCCUCAUCCCAGAUCUCCAGAGUCAGUUGUUUGGGAAUGCAGCUCUAAGUGGGGUGUAAAUUCCAUCUAAGCUAAUACCGUCAGAGACGAUAUGAACUGUACGCGAUGAAAGAGUAUGCACUUGAAAGGACACUGAGGAGUACGUGAUAAUGUUGUAAGGGGAGG
rnacentral:rRNA from 1 species